UACGGAGGGGGCAAGCGUUAUUCGGAAUUAUUGGGCGUAAAGGGCGCGUAGGCGGCUUGACAAGUCAGAGGUGAAAUCCCUCGGCUCAACUGAGGAACUGCCUUUGAAACUGUCUGGCUUGAGGCCGGGAGAGGGUAGCGGAAUUCCCAGUGUAGCGGUGAAAUGCGUAGAUAUUGGGAGGAACACCAGUGGCGAAGGCGGCUACCUGGACCGGUUCUGACGCUGAGGCGCGAAAGCGUGGGUAGCAAACAGG
rnacentral:rRNA from 1 species